ACAGAAGUAGAAGACUGCUCUUCUCACUCAUUGGCUUUGCUUCAACAAAUGGUUCGGCUUCUGCCGUGAUGAAGACCAGCUCACUCAAACCUUGGUUCCUAUGAAAGUAACUGAAGAGCUUCCAGAAUACAAUGAUAGUCCCAAAGGGAUCUGAUGUGGCUGAGUAGGGCAACCUCAGAAACACCAUCAGAAACAAUGAAAACCAUACAACAAAUGUGCUCAUCAUAUACUUACAACCAGAUCUCAAGUCUUCAGUCAUCUCAUCACAUUUUGUUUGCUCGUAAAAGAUGUGUGACAGGCAAGGUCCAUGACCCCUCUGCCCUCUUCAUUUCCAUAGACCACAUUCUGUGUGAGAUUCAUUUCUAAAAAACAGAAUUCCAAAACUAUCCAUUGACACAUGUAACAACUAAAAUGAUACGACAUUCUCACAUAAUUGUUUUAUCUAGAUGACUGCCUUAAUUACCAACAGCACUGAAAUCUGCCCAAAAUGUGUUGGAAAAAGAAAAAUCCAUUUCCCCAAAUGAAAAUAUCUCUUUUAUGGCAGACAAGCCAGCUGUGCUCAUGAAAACAAGUCAAUAAUUGAGACUGAGAAAUAAAGAAAAAAAUGCUAAGACAUAGAAAGGUACAUUUCCACUAGAACUCUGAUGAAAGGUACUGCCUCCAGUGAACCAAUUUAAAUAAGAUUCCCUGGGUAUCGAAGCCGUGAGAACACGGGAAUAUAUUGAGAAGGACAUUUUCCUACUUUGAAAGGAGUCGGUGACCGAAAGGUAUUAGUGAAAUUAAUUCUAUGGUCACUAACAGGCUUCAGAGACAUUGUGUCCACAUUUUCUUGAAGGGACACUGAAGGAGUCUCAGUGUGUAAACAUCCAUCCACGUCCAAAACUGUCUCCGCAUCUGAUGCCACGUGCUUAUGCUGGUGAGGAGACUGUGCCUCCUUGCACAGGGUCAGUCAGGUCAAAACCACCUUUGUGGGCAUUUGCAUCAUGAAAAUGAACAGAGCUGAGGGUCUUCACCGGAACAUACUUUCUUGCAUUUUCCUUUAAGAGAGAAUCAGUAACAGAGCAAUAGUAAGUUUUAUGUUUCAUAACUCAUACUAAAAUUUAUGGGAAAAU
rnacentral:lncRNA from 1 species